rnacentral:misc_RNA from 1 species
CCGAGCGAGAAUUCUCUGAAUUCAACCUCCCACCCGUGUUUAUUGUACCUUGUUGCUUCGGCGGGCCCGCCUUAACUGGCCGCCGGGGGGCUUCCGCCCCCGGGCCCGCGCCCGCCGAAGACACCUUGAACUCUGUAUGAAAAUUGCAGUCUGAGUCUAAAUAUAAAUUAUUUA